GAUGAACGCUGGCGGCGUGCUUAACACAUGCAAGUCGAACGGGAUCCAAGGGGUGCUUGCACUUUUUGGUGAGAGUGGCGAACGGGUGAGUAACACGUGAGUAACCUGUCCUUUUCUUUGGGAUAAGCAUUCGAAAGGGUGUUUAAUACCUUAUGUUCUGUCUGCCUCGCAUGGGGUGGGUGGGAAAGGCUUUGGCCGGAGUUGGGUGGGCUCGCGGUCUAUCAGCUUGUUGGUGGGGUGAUGGCUUACCAAGGCUUUGACGGGUAGCCGGCCUGAGAGGGGGGUCUGUCAGAUUGGGACUGGGAUACGGGCCAGACUCCUGCGGGAGGCAGCAGUGGGGGAUAUUGCACAAUGGGCGAAAGCCUGAUGCAGCGACGCCGCGUGGGGGAUGAAGGCCUUCAGGUUGUAAACUUCUUUUGCUCUGAACAAGGCAUGCCAGUGGGUGUGUUGAGUGUAGGGGUGGAUUAGCGCCGGCUAACUACGUG
rnacentral:rRNA from 1 species